CAAUAGCGUAUAUUAAAGUUGUUGCGGUAAAAAAGCUCGUAGUUGGAUUUCUGUUGAGGACGACCGGUCCGUACCAUGUACGCGCAUCUGGUUCGGCCUCGGCAUCCUCUCGUAAGACGUUUCUGCGCUUGAUUGCGUGGAGCGAAUUGCGGGACUUUUACUUUGAGGAAAUUAGAGUGUUCACGGCAGGCUAUCGCCAGAAUACAUUAGCAUGGAAUAAUACUAUAGGAUCUCGAUUCUAUUUUGUUGGUUUCUAGAAGCGGGAUAAUGAUUAAGAGGGACAAUUGGGGGCAUUCGUAUCAACACGUCAGAGGUGAAAUUCUUGGAUUGUGUUGCGACGAACUACUGCGAAAGCAUUUGCCAAGGAUGUUUNCAUUGA
rnacentral:rRNA from 1 species